AGCGGGACCUUAUCGCCGAAAGUGUUUCGUAGUCCGGAUUGCAGUCUGCAACUCGACUGCAUGAAGUCGGAAUCGCUAGUAAUCGCGGAUCAGCAUGUCGCGGUGAAUACGUUCCCGGGUCUUGUACACACCGCCCGUCACACCAUGGGAGCGGGUUUUACCAGAAGUAGGUAGUUUAACCGUAAGGAGGGCGGUACUCAUAGAUCGACAAC
rnacentral:rRNA from 1 species